rnacentral:rRNA from 1 species
AUUGAACGCUGGCGGCAUGCCUUACACAUGCAAGUCGAACGGCAGCACGGGGCAACCUGGUGGCGAGUGGCGAACGGGUGAGUAAUGCAUCGGAACGUACCUUUCAGUGGGGGAUAACGUAGCGAAAGUUACGCUAAUACCGCAUAUUCUGUGAGCAGGAAAGCAGGGGAUCGCAAGACCUUGCGCUGAUUGAGCGGCCGAUGUCAGAUUAGCUAGUUGGUGAGGUAAAGGCUCACCAAGGCGACGAUCUGUAGCGGGUCUGAGAGGAUGAUCCGCCACACUGGAACUGAGACACGGUCCGGGCGCCUACGGAGGCAGCAGUGGGGAAUUUUGGACAAGGGGGGCAACCCUGAUCCAGCCAUGCCGCGUGAGUGAAGAAGGCCUUCGGGUUGUAAAGCUCUUUCGGCCGGGAAGAAAUCGCACGGGCUAAUACCCUGUGUGGAUGACGGUACCGGAAUAAGAAGCACCGGCUAACUACGUGCCAGCAGCCGCCGUAAAAC